UGCUAUUGUAUGUUUCAGUAAAUAUUGAGUACAUAAUAUCUCUGUGUUGGGGCUGGAAUAAAGAAAAAUAUCCUGGAUGAGGCAUGAUGCAGUGCAGGUUUUAACCAGAGCUUUCAGGAGCCCUGGUGCUUAUUAACUGUCUUCUUAGGACGUCACAAAGUUUCUUUGUGCCCCAGUUUUUAUUGCCUACACAGUGAAGAGAUUUGUGAUUCGAUAACGGUGAGCCUGAAGAAACCCAAAGUGGGAAAUACAACUGCUUUUCAAAAAUGUGUAAUGAAAGGUUACUCUAUUAUUUUACUGCUUUAGCAAUUUCUUAAUGAAUGAUGGAAAUCCAUCGUUCAUUAUAUGACUUCAGAUCUACCUAAAGACUAAGUGAAAUUCAUUGAUUAUGUGGGGGUUAAAUCUGGAAGUGGCUCCCAUGAAGAGCCAACCGGUUUGACCAGGAACAUCUCCAUGCCUUGUGAGAGAGUUCAGGAAUAGAACCAGUUGGCAUGAUGAGUGUUCAGCCGGCAUGAACUGGAUGUGGAUGGGCACAGAGGAAGCAAGUGUUCAAACAGGGCUUGAACGUCUAACGUCAAGAGAGGUGGUACCUGAGGCAGGGAAAAGGAACGAGAAUAUUACAUAAACACUCAUUCGAGAAGAACGUGAGGCUAUGUGCUGAGAAGUGACAGCAUUCAAAUAUCCUGUAGGCAGAGAUGGCUGUUCGUUUGGAUGGACACAAUUUUCAGAGCCUGGGGUCUGAGCUCUGGCUCUCCAAGUCACUCCAUGUGAUCUUAAGCAAGUUUAUUUUUAUUUUUUUACAG
rnacentral:lncRNA from 1 species